rnacentral:rRNA from 1 species
AUUGAACGCUGGCGGCAGGCCUAACACAUGCAAGUCGAACGGUAACAGGAAGAAGCUUGCUUCUUUGCUGACGAGUGGCGGACGGGUGAGUAAUGUCUGGGAAACUGCCUGAUGUAGGGGGAUAACUACUGGAAACGGUAGCUAAUACCUCAUAACGUCUCCAGACCAAAGAGGGUGAGCUUCUUGCCUCUUUCCAUCAUAUGCUCCCAGCUGGUCUUAGCUAGUAGGUGGGGUAACGGCUCACCUAGGGGACGAUCCGUAGCUGGUGUGAGAGUAUGAGAGGCCACACUGGAACGGGGACGCGGACAAGAGGACUGAGGGAGGCAGCAGAGGGGAAAAGUGCACAGUAGGCGCAAGCAUGAUGCAGUCAGGCCGAGUGUAUGAAGAAGGCCUUCGGGUUGUAAAAUACUUUCAGCGGGGAGAAAGGGAGUAAAGUUAAUACCUUUGCUCAUUGACGUUAACGGCAGAAGAAGCACCGGCUAACUACGUG